UUCAUAUAUAUAGCCAAUGUGGCUGAGUGUACAUGGCAGGUGCCAAUCACAGUACAUGGCAGGUGCUAAUCACAAUACAUGGCAGGUGCCAAUCACAGUACAUGGCAGGUGCUAAUCACAAUACAUGGCAGGUGCUAAUCACACUGAUUGAGGACUUGCCUAAUAUGAACUUGCCUAAUAUACACUUGCUAUAUAUAUCUAUCACUUUACAGCCGCUCACAUUUAUCAUCUGAAGGCCCAUAUAAAUAGAAGAAAAAUA